rnacentral:rRNA from 1 species
GACGAACGCUGGCGGCGUGCUUAACACAUGCAAGUCGAACGGAAAGGCCUCUUUCGGGGGGUACUCGAGUGGCGAACGGGUGAGUAACACGUGAGUAACCUGCCCUUGACUUUGGGAUAACUUCAGGAAACUGGGGCUAAUACCGGAUAGGAGCUCCUGCUGCAUGGUGGGGGUUGGAAAGUUUCGGCGGUUGGGGAUGGACUCGCGGCUUAUCAGCUUGUUGGUGGGGUAGUGGCUUACCAAGGCUUUGACGGGUAGCCGGUCUGAGAGGGUGACCGGCCACAUUGGGACUGAGAUACGGCCCAGACUCCUACGGGAGGCAGCAGUGGGGAAUAUUGCACAAUGGGUGGAAGCCUGAUGCAGCAACGCCGUGUGCGGGAUGACGGCCUUCGGGUUGUAAACCGCUUUCGCUCAUGACGAAGCUUUGUGUGACGGUAGUGGGUAAAGAAGCACCGGCUAACUACGUG